GCCUGGGGCAGAUUUUCAAGCCGUCUUGCCACUCAGGGCUGUUGGGGGGGGGACACGGGGGGCACGGUGGUUGUGAGACUGGCCCUUCAGUUUUGCGUGGGAGCUGGGUGAGGCCUGUGACUGCAGACUUUCCCCCACUUCCCUGACAACCUGCAUGACUCAGCAGAGACAGCCAUAAUCCCCCUAGGUACAGAACUCCACCCCCAUCCCCCAAGACCCACCCAUCCCCCCCAACCCGAUGGUCCUUCCCUACCCAACCUGGUAGUGGAAGACAAAGGACAUAUAAUCUUGGGAGUUCUAGGGCCCCGCCCACUGCCAGUCCCUCUCCACAC
rnacentral:lncRNA from 10 species